CCCUUAGAUGUUCUGGGCCGCACGCGCGCUACACUGAUGCAUUCAACGAGUCUAAAACCUGGUCUGAUAGGGCUGGGUAAUCUUUUGAAAGUGCAUCGUGAUUGGGAUAGAUGAUUGCAAUUCUUCAUCUUCAACGAGGAAUGCCUAGUAAACGCAAGUCAUCAGCUUGCAUUGAUUACGUCCCUGCCCUUUGUACACACCGCCCGUCGCUCCUACCGAUUGAAUGAUCCGAUGAAUACCAUGGAUUGAGAGUACGAAUAGGUUCGCUUAUUUCUGCUGCUCGAGAAGUGGAGUAAAUCUUAUCAUUUAGAGGAAGGAGAAGUCGUAACAA
rnacentral:rRNA from 1 species